GCGAGCCGUAUACAGUGAAAGCUGUACGUACGGUUCUGAGGGGGGGACUAUGAAAUCUGCUUUGGGAACAAAGUAAGGCGCAUGCUCCCUACCCUAC
rnacentral:ncRNA from 1 species